rnacentral:tRNA from 1 species
GCGGAUGUAGCUCAGUUGGUAGAGCACCACCUUGCCAAGGUGGGGGUCGCGAGUUCGAGUCUCGUCAUCCGCU